rnacentral:misc_RNA from 1 species
GGCGCAUUUGUCGCCGUCUAGAAGCCAAAAUUGAGUUUUAUUCCUUACUUUUUAAUGGCCAGAUUUUGGCAGGCUGAGUGAGAAGAAAGAAAAAGGAGAGAGAAAGGGUGCAUCCUUGGGAGCAAAGAAAGGUGGAGAGAGAAGGGUAUAAGAGUAAGUGAACAUGGAAUAGACCAGGUGUAUCAUAAUAUGGAAAAUGAAAAGCAUCUCUCUUACACGCACACAUUGAAAGAGAGCAUCACCGCAAUCCAAAGCCUAAAAAUAAGUAACUAGCAACAACUGCAACAACAACACAUCAGAAAACAGCAUCAUCCCAUUUAUCUCUUUGCUUUGCUUUGCUUUUUCAACCAAUCCAACCACAACCCAUUCUCAUUGAUCUCACCCUCGUUAUUUUCUCUCUCUAGAAAGAUGGCACGUUCUUUCUUUCUUUCUUUCUUUGUCUCUCUACGCAGAACCUACAUAACAAAGAAAGAAGAAACAUGGAAACUCCACGCACCCUCCUUCCCUCAAAAAUUAAGAAGAGUCCACACCACCAAGUCUGUCUGUGUCUCUCUCCUCAAUGGCCCAGCUGGACCAAAAUUUAUGUGUGAAGAAAAACAAAAAGGAAAAGAAGAGAGGAGAUAGUAGAUGUCUUCAAAUGUUGUCCUCCAACCAAACCCACCUCACAAACCACUCUCUCCCACAACAAAUAAAAUGAAGUAUGCCAGAACUACCCUUCUGCAACCCCCCAAAAAAUCCCAUCUUCAUCACUGUCUCAACUCUCAAAAGAAACAUUUUUUUCACCGAAUUAUGUGGGCUUCUUUGGGUUUUCUUUGUCUCGGUCAGAGUUUCACAGAGAAAACAGGAAAGCGAGAACCUUCCCAUCUCUCUCUUUCUUGUUUCUCUCUCUGUCUCUCUCUGACCUCUUCUUUCCCUUCCCUUUAUUAUUUCUUUCCCAUCUCUUUCUCUAUCUUCUUUCUCACUGAACUCUCUUCCUUUCUCUAUUUCUCUCCCCCUUUUUCUCUAUUUCUCUCCUUUCCCAAAUACAGCUCCCCGUUUUGCCUUGUGGGUAGU